AUGGUUGUCGUCUAGCUCGUGUCGUGAGGAUGUUGGGUUAAGUCCCGCAACGAGCGCAACCCCUAUUGUUAGUUGCCAUCAUUCAGUUGGGCACUCUAGCGAGACUGCCGGUAAUAAACCGGAGGAAGGUGGGGAUGACGUCAAAUCAUCAUGCCCCUUAUGACCUGGGCUACACACGUGCUACAAUGGUUGGUACAACGAGUUGCGAGUCGGUGACGGCGAGCUAAUCUCUUAAAGCCAAUCUCAGUUCGGAUUGUAGGCUGCAACUCGCCUACAUGAAGUCGGAAUCGCUAGUAAUCGCGGAUCAGCACGCCGCGGUGAAUACGUUCCCGGGCCUU
rnacentral:rRNA from 1 species